GCUGCAAUCCUCUGUCCGUGAGAAUCUCUAUCGGCUCUCUGUUUGUGUGCCCUGCGGCAUGUACUGCAGACUCGAUCCAAGUCAUCUCUCUGCAGUCGUCCCUCUCCACGCCCAGCUCCGGGAAGCUGUGCCCCAUGUGUUGGAGGAGCCCUUCGCAGUCUCCAAGAAACAUGGACAUGAACACCGCCUCCACCCUCCUCUUUGCCCCCUCGGUUUGGGCUAUGUUAACGCGGAGGAGCAGGUCGUCAUGGAGCAGGUGAGCAAUGUUCUGCCAUUUGUUCAUCAGCUCGAUUGCCCCCUGCUCCGACGUCCUGUGAACGGUGAACAUGCUCACGGUGGCAGGGACGGGGACCAAUCUGACCUUCCAAGAGACGAUGACAACGAAGCUUGCUCCGCCGCCGCCUCUUAUGGCCCAGAAGAGGUCCUCGCCCAUGGAUUCCCUGUCCAGGAUCCUGCCAUCGACGUCGAUUACCUUGGCGUCCAAAACGUUGUCAGCUG
rnacentral:lncRNA from 1 species